rnacentral:rRNA from 1 species
UGGGGAAUAUUGGACAAUGGGCGAAAGCCUGAUCCAGCCAUGCCGCGUGUGUGAAGAAGGUCUUCGGAUUGUAAAGCACUUUAAGUUGGGAGGAAGGGCAGUAAAUUAAUACUUUGCUGUUUUGACGUUACCGACAGAAUAAGCACCGGCUAACUCUGUGCCAGCAGCCGCGGUAAUACAGAGGGUGCAAGCGUUAAUCGGAAUUACUGGGCGUAAAGCGCGCGUAGGUGGUUCGUUAAGUUGGAUGUGAAAUCCCCGGGCUCAACCU